rnacentral:rRNA from 1 species
ACUCCUACGGGAGGCAGCAGUGGGGAAUAUUGGACAAUGGGGGCAACCCUGAUCCAGCGACGCCGCGUGUGUGAAGAAGGCCUGCGGGUUGUAAAGCACUUUUAGUGGGGAUGAGAAGCACAGGGCUAAUACUUCUGUGUCUUGACCUAACCCAAAGAAAAAGCACCGGCUAACUCUGUGCCAGCAGCCGCGGUAAU